UGCUCAGGCAGUCAGGGGCACUGAUGAGCAGAGAUGGGCCCUGCUGCUGAGUGCAGGGGGUUCUGCUGUGCUUUGUUCCUUGCCCAGCGGGAGGCCUGGCACUCUUGCUUGCAGGGCCCUCCUGGAGAGCUGGGCUGUUUCCUGCCUAUGCUGGGGCUGCCUGCCUGUCAGAGGGGACCUGCAUUUGAAGCCUCCUCAGGCCAGUGCAGAAGCAACAUGACUGCUUUCAGGCCUCAGCCCUGAGCAGGGCUGUCAGAGGCGAAAGGUGCAGAGCACAGCAGAGGCCCAGCAGCUCACCCAGCUCUUCUUUUUCCUUGCAGCCCAGCUGCCAGCUCCACCAGCCCUGCUGGCUUGACCGCUGGUGAGUAGCAGCACCCUGGGGAAGGUGCCCUGGGCAAAGCCAUUGUCUGCCUGCUGCUGGCAGGAGCAGCUCCACACUUCCUUCCUGCUGAGAGAAGCUGAAAGUGUCACUGGAAUACAUGGAGGACCAGGCCUGGACUGUGGCUCUGAGCCAGCAGCUCAGCGAGCAGCUUGGCACCUGUCCUCACAGCUCCUGGGAGAAUGUUGGCUCCCUGCUUGGCUCUUCCCUGAUUGCAGAGCCAUGGUGCACCCAGCUCCAUGGCUGGGACUGGAGGCACUCUUCUGCCCAUGAUGGCUCUUGUCACCGCUUCCCCUUCUUUUGCCACCAAAAGGCUCUUCCCUCCAUGCAGCUCAGAGGCUGGCUACAACCCAGCACUGUGGCCGGCCUCAGCUGCUCCUUGGGGUGCUAGGGUCCAUCUUGGCCUGUCCUCCUGACACAUCGGGCCAUUACCACAUCUCGGGCUCAGCCUCCUUUCUUUCAGCUCUUCUUGUACAAUGCUCUUCGGUCAGUGCUGGCAGCUUGUCAGGGCUCAGCCAUGUCCAAGAGCAGCUUCACAGAUAUCUCCAGGGAACAAACCAUGUGGAGCUGUUUGAGGCCCAGGUGAGGUUUCCUCUUUUCUCCAUGCUUUCCUAGGGCAGAGGGAGGGCUUCUCCUGGCCCUGCUGUAGACCUAUGUGAUCCCCCAUUGCUGUGGUUUCCCUCAGGCAGUGCCCUGCCUGGCUGUUGCCACUGGCCACAACUGAAUGUCUUGGAUGCAGCUUUCUUUCCCCAGUUCUCUUUGCUUGUAGCGAAUGAUUUUGGUUGUGUCCUUCACUGCUGAGAGCCACUUCCACCUGACCUUGGACACAGUGACAAUGUUUGCUGCCAUGCUGACCAGAGGCAGGUUUUCAGAGACAUCUGGAGACUGGAAGGUAAAGAAUCCAGUGUUCUAUUGUUGUUGUUGGUUUUUUUAAUUAUUAUUAUUUUUUUGGUCUUGUAUUGGCUUCUGCACUGAGAGGAGCUAGAUCGUGGCAGCCACCUUUAGUUUAUUCCUCUUGUAAUUACUGCCCGAGACCUGUGCUUCAAAUGAGAUGUCCUGGCAUUGAGGAAAUGCCUUUGGAAAGGAUAGGAUUUGACCCCCAUGGAUCAGAGCUGCCUUGGUGAGCUAGCUGCAGUGAUGUCUUACACACAACCACUAUUCAACUUCAGCAGGAGGUGGUGAUGAGGAGGUGGGCACAGUGUGAGCUGCAGCCCCCUUCCUGAAGCUGAGUGCUGGAAGUUGAGUCCUGCUGAGCUCUGGCUGGCUCCAUGGAUUCCUUGAGGGCUGGGAGGAAAUCUUUUCAGGCAGGGCAUGGCCCUGCAAGGGAGUAGUGCAGCCAUGCCUAGUGAGGUGAACAAAUAGGGCUCACCUCUACCACUGGCAAGAACAAGCUAUUUGUCUCUAAACAGGACAAUGACAGACUAUUACAGAUACCUUUCUGCAGUCUCACCCUGUGCCAGAGUUACCCAACCCCUAAAGUCAGUGGUAAAUCUGCCAGUGGUGAGCAUGACAGAGUCUGUGCCCCCUCACCCAUUCUCAUGGAGGAGUCUGUCAUGCAGGACGGGAACAGCUCCCAGGCCGAACUCACAGCUGCAAGAGAAACUUGGGGAGCUGCUGGGAAGUGCUCAGGGAAAUGAGAUGUUGUUGCAGGUGUCAGGGAGCUCAUAUCUCCAUAUCUUACAGAAGUCUGUGGAUGCAGUAGGGCCACAGAGCUGAUGUAUUGGGCAUCUCUGUUGACACAGGUACAAUGGCAGCAGAAGAAGGAGGAAGCCCAGGCUGCUCACAUUGCUGUCAUGCUCACCUACAGUGACACUGCGCUGCAUGCCCCAGGAAGCAUCUUCUGGGCUGUGUGGAUGCAGACGUCUUGGGCAAGAUGCUGCUGUUUUCUAGAGCCAGCCAACAGGACUCUCAGCUAAAGCUUGCCUUGGUGCAGAGUAUCACUGAGGUCAGCUGCGCCAUCCAGGCUGUGGGUGAUUGCCCCAGCUUUGGACUCUUCUCAAAGCAGGAGGCCCUGAGGACACUGCUGGGCUGGGUAAAAGAGGAGCCCUGGGAUGUGGCAGUAUACCCCAUGCUUUUGGCCUUGGAGCAGCCGAGCAAAGUGAAGCCAUCUCUGAGAAGGGGGGAAAAUCGCCACCUGUUGUCUGAGUGCUGCCAAAGCGUCUUUUCCCAUCCAUCCAUUGGAGAGAUAAAAGUGAGACGGAGGCCAGUGAGAGCAGCUUUGAACGUCAAGCUCCUGCACACGUCAUGCUUGGAGGCUCUGGGCUGGCUUAUGACAGUACUUCCUGAAGCUGAAGGGCCCUCUGCCACUUUUGAGGACAUAGUCUGUGUGAGUAGCUAUAGAAUGAUGGGGAAAGACAGGAGAGUGGUGCUUUGACUACUGCCACUGAUGCCAUCCUUCUGGCUGGAGAAUGAGAGUGCCAGGCCCCUAUGGAUUGAAGGCAGACAAAGAAGUGGGACUUGCUGGAGGAAAAGCCAAGAGUCAGCCCCAAGGAGGUUGAGAGCAGCCUGGGGAAAGGCUGCAGGGAGGAGGUACCUGCACAGAAAUGGCUCUUAGGUCAGGGCAGAGGUGCUAGCCAAGGGAGAAGGGCUGUGCAGGUGGGAACGACCAUGACGAGCAGAAGGAGAGACCUUUAGGGGAGGGGCCAGUAGGUAGGUUUGAGAACCAAAAGGAAUUGCCCUCACACAGUACUUUGCCCAUCAGCUGUCUGAUCCCUUUUUACCUUAAGCAAGCCCGAGGCUACUUCCACUCUUGAGAAGGUGGAGGAAUGUCUCCCAGAGGA